ensembl:lncRNA
AUGGCGCUUAAGAGGCUCGACGGUCCCACCGAGAGUUGAAUGGGAUCCCAGCGUGAUCUGGCACACGGGCGGGAAGGGAGCGCAACACACGUCCUGGACGAGGUUUGAGCCAAAAGCACCGUGCUGCCCGACUUUCAUCGACAUUCCUUCUCCUGCCCGGCCCGCAGGACCGAGCCAACCGAUUCGCGGUGCGUAAUUACGCAUCGGGACGACACACAUCGGCUGUGCUUUUCGGCGUGGAAACCCCGCGGACAAAGAAAGGCAGGCGGGCUGUAGUAUAAGCUACUUGAGAAGAGAGGACUACAGUUCGAGGAGAAAUAGGGAAGUCUGGAGUCGGAAGUGAUUUGUCUAUUUUUUGUUGUCGGAGAUGUAAGUUGCGGCCAGGAUUUCGGGGAAAAGGCGAAUCUGUCUCCUGGAAAUCAAGGAGAAAAAGACAACGUGGAGCGGUGGUGAGUGGAAUCCGUCCUAAAAAGCAUCCAGAUCCUCGGAGCAUGGGAUCUACAGAGACCGACGUACUUCAAGAUGGACUGUGUGUCGACGAGGCCUCUUGGCACCGAGCACAGUGUGUCUGAGCGUCCUCUAACGUCAAUACGAGAGGAGUUUCCUGUGAGCUGUAAAAUGUUUCCGGUACAUCGAGAGAG